rnacentral:tRNA from 1 species
ACUCACGUAGCUUAAACUAAAGCAUGACACUGAAGAUGUUAAGACGGGCCCUAGAAAGCCCCAUGGGUA